GACGAACGCUGGCGGCGUGCCUAAUACAUGCAAGUUGAGCGCUGAAGGUUGGUACUUGUACCGACUGGAUGAGCAGCGAACGGGUGAGUAACGCGUGGGGAAUCUGCCUUUGAGCGGGGGACAACAUUUGGAAACGAAUGCUAAUACCGCAUAAAAACUUUAAACACAAGUUUUAAGUUUGAAAGAUGCAAUUGCAUCACUCAAAGAUGAUCCCGCGUUGUAUUAGCUAGUUGGUGAGGUAAAGGCUCACCAAGGCGAUGAUACAUAGCCGACCUGAGAGGGUGAUCGGCCACAUUGGGACUGAGACACGGCCCAAACUCCUACGGGAGGCAGCAGUAGGGAAUCUUCGGCAAUGGACGAAAGUCUGACCGAGCAACGCCGCGUGAGUGAAGAAGGUUUUCGGAUCGUAAAACUCUGUUGGUAGAGAAGAACGUUGGUGAGAGUGGAAAGCUCAUCAAGUGACGGUAACUAUCCAGAAAGGGACGGCUAACUACGUG
rnacentral:rRNA from 1 species